rnacentral:rRNA from 1 species
AAGCUCGUAGUUGAAUUUCGGGAUCGACGGGUCGGUCGCGCCUCCGGUGUGUACUGGCCCUGUCGGUUUCUCCCUUCUGACGAACCACGAUGUCAUUAAUUUGGUGUCGUGGGAAAUCAGGACUGUUACUUUGAAAAAAUUAGAGUGUUUAAAGCAGGCAUUCGCUUGAAUACAUUAGCAUGGAAUAAUGAAAUAGGACGUUUGAUCUUAUUUUGUUGGUUUCUAAGAUCGACGUAAUGAUUAAUAGGGAUAGUUGGG